rnacentral:rRNA from 1 species
CGGCGGACGGGUGAGUAACACGUGGAUAACCUACCUAUAAGACUGGGAUAACUUCGGGAAACCGGAGCUAAUACCGAAUAAUAUAUUGAACCGCAUGGUUCAAUAGUGAAAGACGGUUUUGCUGUCACUUAUAGAUGGAUCCACGCCGCAUUAGCUAGUUGGUAGGGUAACGGCUUACCAAGGCGACGAUGCGUAGCCGACCUGAGAGGGUGAUCGGCCGCACUGGAACUGAGACACGGUCCAG